rnacentral:rRNA from 1 species
UACGUAGGUGGCAAGCGUUGUCCGGAUUUACUGGGCGUAAAGAGCGCGCAGGCGGUCGUUCAAGUCGCGUGUGAAAGCCCCCGGCUCAACUGGGGAGGGUCACGCGAUACUGAUCGACUCGAAGGCAGGAGAGGGAAGUGGAAUUCCCGGUGUAGUGGUGAAAUGCGUAGAUAUCGGGAGGAACACCAGUGGCGAAGGCGAGUCUCUGGGAUGAUGCUGACGCUGAGGCGCGAAAGCCAGGGGAGCAAACGGG